UACGUAGGGUGCAAGCGUUGUCCGGAAUUAUUGGGCGUAAAGAGCUCGUAGGCGGUUUGUCGCGUCUGCUGUGAAAGACCGGGGCUCAACUCCGGUUCUGCAGUGGGUACGGGCAGACUAGAGUGCAGUAGGGGAGACUGGAAUUCCUGGUGUAGCGGUGAAAUGCGCAGAUAUCAGGAGGAACACCGAUGGCGAAGGCAGGUCUCUGGGCCACUACUGACGCUGAGAAGCGAAAGCAUGGGGAGCGAACAGG
rnacentral:rRNA from 1 species